rnacentral:rRNA from 1 species
UACGUGGGGGGCAAGCGUUGUCCGGAUUUAUUGGGCGUAAAGAGCGUGUAGGCGGCCUGACAGGUCUGCUGUGAAAACUCGAGGCUCAACCUCGAGAUGUCGGCGGAAACCGUCUGGCUAGAGUCCGGAAGAGGAGAGUGGAAUUCCUGGUGUAGCGGUGAAAUGCGCAGAUAUCAGGAAGAACACCCGUGGCGAAGGCGGCUCUCUGGGACGGUACUGACGCUGAGGCACGAAAGCGUGGGGAGCAAACAGG